UUUUUUUAAUGUCCAUCAGAAGACGCCGUUAAAAACCCAACAACUUUAGCCUUCUUUAUCUACAAAGAUCUCGGAUCUCAUCUCCUUAGUCUGGUGAUCUUUUACCCUGCACAUACAAGUAUUAGAAGCAUUAUUAAGAAUCGUAUCCUUCAACACAUUUAAGAAUUAUAUUAUUAUAACAAAUAAGACCAAAAAUUAGAUUUUAUAGUUAAAUAUUCUGUGAGCCAGACAAAGGGGCUUUACUGUACAAGCAAUUGUGCAUUUUUUUUUUAAAAAAAAGCAAAUUAUAGUGCAAAGCAAAAAACAUUGGCCUGUCUCAUGACCAUUUGCAUACAACAGAGGUGCAUCUAUUUACACCUUCACAUGACAAUAUGUCAUAAAAACAACAUCAUUGCCAUUCUUUUUAUUAUUUUCUCCUUUAAAACUUACUACAAAUAGUCUUAAAUUAACCUACAACUAGGAAUGCCUUGUUUCCUUUGUGCUUUCAACCAGUGGGACAGGAUGACAAAUGCAAAAAGGCAUUAAAACACAGGCUGCCCUGUCCAGCUGCAGAGCCGGCGAGUGCCGGCGCUAAGGCGAGUGGAGGUUGCAGUUAUGCCGGGGUAAGGCCUUUUAUAUUAAAAAACAAAGAUUAUUAUUAUCAUUAUUAUUAUUAUUAUUGAAAAGAGUUGUUCUUCGCUGCUUAUGGAACUGGGAGUGGUCAUGGCAGCUCUCCAGGGCAGCCAGGAUGUGCUGCUCCAGCCCUGCUGUGGUAGUGCAAUUCCAGCGCUGGGAGCUGGUGACAGGUGACAAGGCUGGGACGGUGGGACCGAGGCACAGGGGCCAGGAGGGCAGCUCUGGGGGCAAGAUUUUCUUCUGCUUAUGGGAGAAGUGGAAAAAGAAAGGCGUGGUUACUGGUGGCAUUGGGGCUGUCCUCUGGCUGCAGGGAGGGCUCUGCAGGGCACUGGGCACUGCAGUUAUGGAUCCCCAGGAAUCUGUCUGUGCCCUCCCAGCCCUGCCAGCACGACGACUCCUGAAUCCAGCCCCAAUUCUCAUGCCAGCAGAGGGCACAGGUGGCCUGCAGGAGGUGACAACCCUGUGCUAUGCAUCAGAGCCUUGGAGGAGCCCAGAGCCCCCCUCCACCACGGGCCUGUUUGGUUGCAAUCUCUGUGGUGUCAGCUGUGAGGGUGUGUGCUGCUUGGCAGACCUGGUUCCUGCAAAUGCCACCUGAUGCCACCGCCACCAGCGGCAUUGAGUGCCCCCUCUACAGAGAGAUCACCGUGCUCAGGGUCACCUGGGGAAGGACAGGAGGGUGAGGGGAUGGAAGAGGCUGCACAGCAUCAAUUCACAACAUUCCCACCACCAGGAGCAGAAACUGCUCCUUUCUCCAGAUCUCAGAGCUUUCAGGAUGAACUGAGACAUGUGAAUCAAAAUAAAAAAUUGUGUUAAUCCUCUCUGGGUGAGAACAUGGGAAAGGACUAGAACAGAAUUGUGAAGCUUUGCCACCAGCUGUGAGUGUUGCCUCUCUGAGGGGAUGAAAGGAACACCUGGAGGACGGAUGCAAGGCCGUGCCAAAGGCUCCUGAGCCCCUUGGAAGUGCAUCUCAAACGUCUCAGAUUGUCCUGAACGCCGCCUUCACUUCAGCCACCAUCACAGAGGUUUGCUAAGGAAAGCAAAGAGCUGAAUGGUGAGGUCAGGACAAGAGAGCAAACAAAAAAAACAAAACAUCUCCAUAAAAAGUACAUCUCGUGUGUAAACAUGGAGGGGAGGGGUCAGCCAGGCCCGGGGUCAGCCACGUUACUGAUUGACAAAUGACAACAGUGACACCAAAAUGAAUAAUACAGCUUGUGUCGUCAACAAAUAAUAACAAUAAUCACAUCACAGCUCUUGUUCACGUGGCUAACUGAGCCCCAGUGCCCCUGGCUGUGCUGCAAACCCCACUGCUCUGUGGUGCUCAGG
ensembl:lncRNA